rnacentral:rRNA from 1 species
GAUGAACGCUGGCGGCGUGCCUAAUACAUGCAAGUCGAGCGAACAGAUGAGGAGCUUGCUCCUCUGACGUUAGCGGCGGACGGGUGAGUAACACGUGGAUAACCUACCUAUAAGACUGGGAUAACUUCGGGAAACCGGAGCUAAUACCGGAUAAUAUAUUGAACCGCAUGGUUCAAUAGUGAAAGACGGUUUUGCUGUCACUUAUAGAUGGAUCCGCGCCGCAUUAGCUAGUUGGUAAGGUAACGGCUUACCAAGGCAACGAUGCGUAGCCGACCUGAGAGGGUGAUCGGCCACACUGGAACGGAGACACGGUCAAGACUCCUACGAGAGGCAGCAGAAGGGAAUCUUCCGCAAUGGGCGAAAGCAUGACGGAGCAACAGCGAGUGAGUGAUGAAGGUCUUCGGAUCGUAAAACUCUGUUAUUAGGAAAGAACAUAUGUGUAAGUAACUGUGCACAUCUUGACGGUACCUAAUCAGAAAGCCACGGCUAGCUACGUG